AGCAUGGAUCGAAGGUAUUCCAAAAUAAGAGAUAAGAAAUAAGAGACUACUAUAAAAGCGAAUACGAUUUCAUUCAAAUAACAUAAUUUUGAGAUCAUUCAACGGAGUAAAAAUGAAAUUCAUUGCUGUUUUCGUAUUUUUACUGGUGGCCCAGUGCUAUGGCCGUUCAGUUUAUGAAGAUUCCGAGGAAGUAGGAUUGUCUGAGGAUCAUUUGCAUUCCCUUGUCGUUCAAAACGGGAAAUUGCAAACGGAGCUAGAGCCAUUGGAGAAGACACUCUCAAAACGUUCCACCCGCGAUGAUAUUGAAAUUAUCAUAAUAAAAGCAGCGGACAAGCAAAUGUAGGCAACGGAUGCAUAAAGAUAUAAAGAUUUAAAGAUGGAUAUUUUGGGCCGUAAAUGUGCCAGAUUUAGAGAGCAUUGAUAAAUAUCAAAUCAAAGGAUUUCUUUUGUUCAGUGGCAUAUAAUGGAAUAUCAUGGUGGAAUAUGUUCAUCAAUUGAAAACAUGUAUUUAAAAAUUGUAGUAUUGUAGGAUAAUUUGUUAAUUGUUUUAAAUAGAAUACAAAAUUUAACCCAAAAAAUAAAAUUAAAUUAAAACAAUUUCAUAAAAAAAA